rnacentral:rRNA from 1 species
ACGCUGGCGGCGUGCUUAAUACAUGCAAGUCAACUUGACUUUAGAUAGCAAUAUCGAAAAGUAGGGUGGCGCACGGGUGCGUAACGCGUAGGUAAUCUGCCCUGAGGUCUGACAUAACCCGUCGAAAGGCGGGCUAACAUCAGAUGAUAUAUAAUCACGACAUCGUGGAAAUAUCAAACCUUCGGAGCCUUGGGAUGAGCCUGCGUCUGAUUAGGUAGUUGGCGGAGUAAUAGCCCACCAAGCCUACGAUCAGUAGCUGGUCUGAGAGGAUGAUCAGCCACACUGGAACUGAGACACGGUCCAGACUCCUACGGGAGGCAGCAGUAAGGAAUAUUGCUCAAUGGGGGAAACCCUGAAGCAGCAACGCCGCGUGAAGGAUGAAAUACUUUGUAUGUAAACUUCUGUAAGAUGGGAAAAAUAUUCUCCUCGGGAGAAUUGAUUGUACCAUCAGAGUAAGCCCCGGCUAACUACGUG